UACGUAGGGCGCAAGCGUUGUCCGGAAUUAUUGGGCGUAAAGAGCUCGUAGGCGGCUUGUCACGUCGGGUGUGAAAUCCCGAGGCUCAACCUCGGGUCUGCAGUCGAUACGGGCAAACUAGAGUAUUGCAGGGGAGACUGGAAUUCCUGGUGUAGCGGUGAAAUGCGCAGAUAUCAGGAGGAACACCGGUGGCGAAGGCGGGUCUCUGGGCAAUAACUGACGCUGAGGAGCGAAAGCGUGGGGAGCGAACAGG
rnacentral:rRNA from 1 species